GUCGAUUUGGAUAUAAGAAUGAAGUCUUCUUUUAUUACUUGUAGAUGUCUGAAUUUAUGUCAUUGGUGCUUGAUACGGGUAUAAAUUAUUUCCACGGCAGAGUCCAGUAUUCAAGUUAGCAUUAAAGAAACAUAUAUACAUAUGCUUAAUUUAAUCAACACAUACAUAGAAAUAGUUGUAGGCUUGUAGCUAAAUUCUACGUAUUAAACAGACUUUUAAGAAAUAAAGAAAGUAAGAUUUUUUUUUACCUUUUUCACGAAGCAUUAAUUUGAUGGCCGAACUAAGCAGACUGUGUUCUCAAGACAUUUCCAAGAUGCCUCCACAGAAAAGAAAAUUGUGCACAUAUCAAGUGAAACUGGGAGUUCCCCCAAACACUUCAGAAGGCUAAAUGGCUGCAUUUUGUCCAGCAGCCAAGGAUCCCCCAUGAAGCGGUCAGGGGAACUCUAGGGUACACCUGAUGUUAAGCUAUUGCCUUCCACGGUUCCACCAGUGAUAUUUAUAAUGCACUCAGACCAGUGGAGGUCUCUUUGCACUUCGUCGGUUCAUAGGUGUACAAUAGGGUUCGUAAAACCAUCCAGGACAUUAG
rnacentral:lncRNA from 1 species